AAGUAUUCUAGGAUGUAUUACAUCAGGCCCUGCUGACUUGAAAACAUCUAACUUGUUUAACAGGAGCCAAAGAGAAAUGAUACAGCUGCAAUUGUUUCUAAUUGUAUGACUUAAUCACAACUACUCCCUUUCCACCGAGGCCAAAUCCCAAAAUGAAGUUGACCUUCAAGUUACUGCUGACCCUGAAGUUACUGCUUAACGUUCUGCCACUGAGAGUGGCUGAAACUAAUGUCUCAGGUAAAGUUAAAAGAGUGGAAGGCGUCACAAACGGCAAACAAGGAGCAAGGCAACUGAGCUACAAUAUAUUCACAAACUACAAAGUUAAUGCAAAGAACACCCAAGGCCACAGUUAUCUGAAGUGCAUCAUUGCAUACAGCAGCCUGCCCUUCUUAAUUCCCUCAGAGCCCUUUAAACAUAACGUGACUAUUCUGUGGUGCAUGGUGGGGGACAGACUGUGCAUUUUAACAACGGAAGGAUGGAACAUCGGUAUUUAUCAGCAAAAUAAAUCCAUGUGGGAUUAGAUGGUUCGGGAGACUGGUAAUGUAAUAAGGAACUUUUCACCCCUAAGGGGCAGCACUUCCAGUUUGUCCAUGUUAUUAAAUGACCUAGAGGAAGAACAUCAAGAAGAGGAUUGAGGGCCACUGGCAAGCCAGUUUGGCAGAGUUGGCCUUCCUUCUGCCUUACACAAUAUCUGAUCUUGCAGAGAAGUGUUCGCGUUUCAAUCAGCUUCAGCUGGCAUCUUUCACCAGAUCCUUCUUCAGAGGAAAAAAAGAACAUCCCCCCUUUAUGAAGAACGUACAUUUCCUUUGGGAAGCACAGAUAGCUGCAAAAUUAAUGUCUGAUUGCAUCCCACUAUCACAACAGCACCUGCUGAUUCUCAAUCCCACCAACAUUUGAAUGGAAGACACUACUGGACACUUCUUAGCGUGGAAACUCAGAUCCUCAGCAGCAUAUUAAGACAUUCUGCAAAGCAGUUUUAGUUUCUUCUUAUAUGAUCUUUAAUAGUUAAUUUAAGUCAUUCAUUAGUUAAAUGUGCAGAGCCACAGGGCUAUGUUCUACCCUCAGUUAUAUUGGAGUAAAGUUGGAGUUAACUCCACUACAGUCAGUGGAUGUGCACAUGGAAAGAGCUAAAGUUUUGGCUCAUUUUCAAGAGAGAAACACUGCUAAACACAGCAAGCUAGACAGUUCUUGGCAUGACCCAUCAUGGCUUGUAUAAAAUAUCUUUUGAUUUACUAGACAAUGCUAUUUCCUUUUUGCCUGAUUUAUUAAAUGACCUUUUAAAGUC